CAAGUACUCCCUCCGUCCAGAAUUACUUGUCAUCAAAAUGGAUGUGUCUAGAACUAAAAUACAUCUAGAUACACCCAUUUCAAUGACAAGUAUUUUCGGACGGAGGGAGUACAAG
rnacentral:pre_miRNA from 1 species